UAGCCUAGUGGUUAAGGCUAUGGAUCGCCAAUCCGGAGACGACGGGUUCAAUUCCCGU
rfam:Aedes albopictus isolate Foshan contig108787, whole genome shotgun sequence.